rnacentral:rRNA from 1 species
AUUGAACGCUGGCGGCAGGCCUAACACAUGCAAGUCGAACGAGUGGCGGACGGGUGAGUAAUGUCUGGGAAACUGCCUGAUGGAGGGGGAUAACUACUGGAAACGGUAGCUAAUAACGCAUACCAUCAGAUGUGCCCAGAUGGGAUUGGCUAGUUGGUGGGGUAAUGGCUCACCAAGGCGACGAUCCCUAGCUGGUCUGAGAGGAUGACCAGCCAGCCUGGAACUGAGACACGGCCCAUACUCCGACGGGAGGCAGCAGUGGGGAAUAUUGCACAAGGGGCGCAAGCCUGAUGCAGCCAUGCCGCGUGUAUGAAGAAGGCCUUCGGGUUGUAAAGUACUUUCAGCGGGGAGGCGUUACCCGCAGAAGAAGCACCGGCUAACUCCGUGCCAGCAGCCGCGGUAAUAC